CGUCAGGUAGCUCAGUUGGUAGAGCAUUAGACUGAAAAUCUAAGUGUCGGGGGUUCAAUCCCCUCUCUGACGACCA
rnacentral:tRNA from 1 species